rnacentral:tRNA from 1 species
GGGCCUUUAGCUCAGCGGGUAGAGCGCCACGUUUACACCGUGGAUGUCAUCGGUUCGAUCCCGGUAGGGCCCA